rnacentral:piRNA from 1 species
UGAACAUACAGAAGUACAGAAAAU